rnacentral:rRNA from 1 species
GUGGGGAAUCUUAGACAAUGGGCGCAAGCCUGAUCUAGCCAUGCCGCGUGAGUGAUGAAGGCCCUAGGGUUGUAAAGCUCUUUCAGCUGGGAAGAUAAUGACGGUACCAGCAGAAGAAGCCCCGGCUAACUCCGUGCCAGCAGCCGCGGUAAUACGGAGGGGGCUAGCGUUGUUCGGAAUUACUGGGCGUAAAGCGCGCGUAGGCGGACUGAAAAGUUGGGGGUGAAAUCCCGGGGCUCAACCCCGGAACUGCCUUUGAAACUCCUGGUCUUGAGGUCGAGAGAGGUGAGUGGAAUUCCGAGUGUAGAGGUGAAAUUCGUAGAUAUUCGGAGGAACACCAGUGGCGAAGGCGGCUCACUGGCUCGAUACUGACGCUGAGGUGCGAAAGCGUGGGGAGCAAACAGGAUUAGAAACCCUAGUAGUCC